rnacentral:rRNA from 1 species
AUUGAACGCUGGCGGCAGGCCUAACACAUGCAAGUCGAACGGCGUGGCGGACGUGUGAGUAAUGUCUGGGAAACUGCCUGAUGGAGGGGGAUAACUACUGGAAACGGUAGCUAAUACCGCAUACUAUCAGAUGAGCCUCGGUCGGAUUAGCUAGUUGGUGGGGUAAAGGCCUACCAAGGCGACGCUCCGUAACUGGUCUGAGAGGCUGAUCAGUCACACGGGAACUGAGACACGGUCCAGACUCCUACGGGCGGCAGCAGUGGGGAAUAUUGGACAAUGGGCGAAAGCCUGAUCCAGCCAUGCCGCGUGUGUGAAGAAGGUCUUCGGAUUGUAAAGCACUUUAAGUUGGGAGGCGUUACCAACAGAAUAAGCACCGGCUAACUUCGUGCCAGCAGCCGCGGUAAUAC